CAAGGAGGUCCCAAGAAGAUAAGGCUCUGAUGGCCCCUGAAAGGAUGCUUCCUGCUCUCAAACAUCAGACUGCAAAUUCUUCAGUCUGGAGACUCAGACUGGCUCUCCUGCUCCUCAAGCUUGCAGAUGGCCUAUUGUGGGACCUUGUGGUCAUGUAAGUUAAAACAUAAUAAACUCCUUUAUAUAGCUAUCCUACUAGGUCUG
rnacentral:lncRNA from 13 species